CCCAUUGCCAAGGGGUGCUGUCUUCUUGAAGGGGACGGCUGAGAUCACACCCGUUGAACCUGAAUCUGGGUAAUGCCAGCGCAGGGAAAGGCUUUGGGCUUCCAU
rnacentral:ncRNA from 2 species